UGGUUUCUGAAGACUUCCUUUAGUGAGAAGCAGAUUAACUUUGUGCUUGUUGGAGUUUCUACAGGAAGAUGAAGAUGUUUGUGGUGUUUGUGAUCCUCGUGCACGUUUCCCAGCAUGCCUCAGCUGUGGAGCUGUAUGAGGGGGAGGAGUUUGUCCUGCUGCCCUGUGAUUAUCACACCUUUGAUGGACGACCCCACAGUGGUGUGGAGCCGCUACGAUCUCGAUCCUCCAACCGUCCACCAGCGUCAGCAGGAAGGUGAUGAACUUAAAGACCAAAACCAGCUUUACAGCGGCCGAACAUCCAUGAUGACUGACGCUCUGGAAACUGGAGACCUCAGCCUCAAGCUGACAAAACUCCAGCUCUCUGACAGCGGCAGCUACACCUGCACCGUCAGAGUGUUGGAGAUCAAGACAGAGUGACAGAGAUACAGCUGCAGGUCAAAGAACGAUUUCCAUCCUGGGCCAAAGUUCUCCUGGUUCUCCUGGUUCUCCUGGUUGUUGGUCUUGUUGCUGGGGGUCUUCUGGUACAUUUCCGGCAGUAUUUCAUGUCAGGUAUGUCACUACUGCUACACCUCCA